GACGUAGGGUGCAAGCGUUAAUCGGAAUUACUGGGCGUAAAGCGUGCGCAGGCGGUUUUGUAAGUCUGUCGUGAAAUCCCCGGGCUCAACCUGGGAAUUGCGAUGGAGACUGCAAGGCUAGAAUCUGGCAGAGGGGGGUAGAAUUCCACGUGUAGCAGUGAAAUGCGUAGAGAUGUGGAGGAACACCGAUGGCGAAGGCAGCCCCCUGGGUCAAGAUUGACGCUCAUGCACGAAAGCGUGGGGAGCAAACAGG
rnacentral:rRNA from 1 species